rnacentral:rRNA from 1 species
CAGUAGCCGCGGGAAUACGAAGGGUGCAAGCGUUAAUCGGAAUUACCGGGCGUAAAGCGUGCGUAGGCGGUGAGUUAAGUCUGCUGUGAAAUCCCCGGGCUCAACCUGGGAAUGGCAGUGGAUACUGGCUCACUAGAGUGUGGUAGAGGAUAGUGGAAUUUCCGGUGUAGCAGUGAAAUGCGUAGAGAUCGGAAGGAACAUCUGUGGCGAAGGCGACUAUCUGGGCCAACACUGACACUGAGGCACGAAAGCGUGGGGAGCAAACAGGAUUAGAUACCCCGGUAGUCCCUGUCUCUUAUAC